rnacentral:tRNA from 1 species
GGGCUUGUGGUGUAACGGGAACACAUCUGUCUUGCACACAGACGAUCAGGGUUCGAUUCCCUGCGGGUCCAC